rnacentral:rRNA from 1 species
UGGGCCAAGACCGGUGCCAGCCCGCCGCGGGUAACACCGGCAGCCCAAGUGAUGGCCGAUAUUAUUGGGCCCUAAAAGCGUCCGUAGCUGGCCGCGCAAGUUCGUCGGGAAAUCCCACGCGCUUAACGUGUGGGCGUCCGGCGAAAACUGUGCGGCUUGGGACCGGAAGAUCUGAGGGGUACGUCUGGGGUAGGAGUGAAAUCCCGUAAUCCUGGACGGACCACCGAUGGCGAAAGCACCUCAGAAGGACGGAUCCGACAGUGAGGGACGAAAGCUAGGGUCUCGAACCGGAUUAGAUACCCGGGUAGUCCUAGCCGUAAACGAUGCUCGCUAGGUGUGGCACAGGCUACGAGCCUGUGCUGUGCCGUAGGGAAGCCGUGAAGCGAGCCGCCUGGGAAGUACGUCUGCAAGGAUGAAACUUAAAGGAAUUGGCGGGGGAGCACUACAACCGGAGGAGCCUGCGGUUUAAUUGGACUCAACGCCGGACAUCUCACCAGCUCCGACAGCAGUAAUGACGAUCAGGUUGAUGACCUUAUUCGAGCUGCUGAGAGGAGGUGCAUGGCCGCCGUCAGCUCGUACCGUGAGGCGUCCUGUUAAGUCAGGCAACGAGCGAGACCCGCACCUCUAGUUGCCAGCAGCAUCUCGCGAUGGCUGGGUACACUAGGGGGACUGCCGUCGCCAAGACGGAGGAAGGAACGGGCAACGGUAGGUCAGUAUGCCCCGAAUGAGCUGGGCUACACGCGGGCUACAAUGGCCAGGACAAUGGGAUGCGACACCGAGAGGUGGAGCUAAUCUCCUAAACCUGGUCGCGGUCACAAGCG